rnacentral:rRNA from 1 species
AAACUGCCUGAUGGAGGGGGAUAACUACUGGAAACGGUAGCUAAUACCGCAUAACGUCGCAAGACCAAAGAGGGGGACCUUCGGGCCUCUUGCCAUCGGAUGUGCCCAGAUGGGAUUAGCUAGUAGGUGGGGUAAAGGCUCACCUAGGCGACGAUCCCUAGCUGGUCUGAGAGGAUGACCAGCCACACUGGAACUGAGACACGGUCCAGACUCCUACGGGAGGCAGCAGUGGGGAAUAUUGCACAAUGGGCGCAAGCCUGAUGCAGCCAUGCCGCGUGUAUGAAGAAGGCCUUCGGGUUGUAAAGUACUUUCAGCGGGGAGGAAGGGAGUAAAGUUAAUACCUUUGCUCAUUGACGUUACCCGCAGAAGAAGCACCGGCUAACUCCGUGCCAGCAGCCGCGGUAAUACCGGAGGGUGCAAGCGUUAAUCGGAAUUACUGGGCGUAAAGCGCACGCAGGCGGUUUGUUAAGUCAGAUGUGAAAUCCCCGGGCUCAACCUGGGAACUGCAUCUGAUACUGGC